CUCGCACUAUUGACAACAUUACCAUCCAAGCCAUCAACUUCAGAGCUCAAACUAGAAGAUGCUUCGUGUGACGAGGCACCCUUAAGAAAAGGAUUAAAAUCUGCAUCUUCAUCUUCUUCCCCCUCCUCAUCCUCUUCCUUAUCUUCCACAGGUUUCAAAUUCCUCUCACCGCUCUCACUACACGAGACUUCAUUCUGAUUCAUAUCAAAGCCAGCUUUGGCUGAC
rnacentral:lncRNA from 1 species